GGACACCCACAGAGCUGGUCAGUCAAGAAUGAAACCUAUGCACCAAACUGAGAAAAGCUGUUGAUAGAGGAAUUUUAAAGAAGGAAUAGGGAGAGGACUACUUCUCUGUUUUUAGCUGGAAGUUCUCUCUAUCAUGUACAAAUGCUUCUGAUCACUACUUACAGCAUGUCCAGCAAUGACGCCUUGAAAAUGGGAGAUUAUUGUAUGACAAGAAGUCCUAUGCAAGAGGAUUUUCUGGUUAUAACAACUGCUCUAUCAUGCAUCAAGGACAUAGGUUAUAUAUGUCUUUUCUGUCCUUCAUUCUCAAUGGAGUCUCAUUCCAUGGCCCAGGCUGGAAUGCAAUGGCACAAUCUCGGCUCACUGUAGCCUCCACCUCCCGAGUUCAAGUGAUUCCCCUGCCUCAGGCUCCUGAGUAGCUGGGAUUACAGGCCAAUACUCGGACCUUCCUGCCAGC